rnacentral:rRNA from 1 species
UUAAGGAUGGCAUGUUGUCCUUGUAAUGGGGAUCCAGCAGGGUGGCCACCCAGUAAUCAGCACAAGUUAGAAUGUGGGCAACUUGGCAGUCAUUGCACAGGCACUUUGGUGACUCUAGAUAACCUUGGGCCGAUCGCACGUCCCCGUGACGGUGACGACGCAUUCGGAUGUCUGCCCUAUCAACUUUCGAUGGUACUUUCUGCACCUACCAUGGUGACCACGGGUAAAGGGGAAUCAGGGUUCAAUUGGGGAGAGGGAGCCUGAGAAACGGCUACCACAUCCAAGGAAGGCAGCAGACGCGCAAAUUACCCACUCCCAACGCAGGGAGGUAGUGACGA